AUGGCCCAAGUUGCGGCCCAACCAUCAGUGCCGCUUCUGGAUAAGGUGAUUUCUUCAUCUGGAGAUUAUUCUCAACUGAUUAUGGACUAUGCUGGGGAUUCUGCCAGGUUUAAUGAUAUUAUUGAUGAUAUUGUGUUCAACGUGUGGAAGUGCCAGAACUGUUUAUCUAUGUUGCACCACACAAAUUUGUGCACCAAGCAGGUCAGAUGCCGUCAUUGCUUUAAAUUGGGCCACAGAGCCAAGGGGUGUUCCGGCUCUGCGCCUUCCCCAACUUACAGGUGGGUCCCAAGAGCCAAUUCGGUUUCUCCGGAACGGUCAGCGGAGAUAUACUCGCCCGACGCCUCGGUUUCCACCCUGGGGUCUUUGCCCAGUCCUAUCACGCCUGCCACCCCAUCGCUUCCGCCAUUGCCCGCAGAGCCACCGCCCACCACGCCUCCGCCACCUACCUCAACACCGCCGCCCACCACACCACCAACUCCAUCGUCGCCACCGCUCAGCUUGCCGCCUUCCCCCAGGGCUACAUCCUCGCUAAUAGAGCUUCCUCUGAAUCCAACAAUUUCCACCUUUGCUCUCGACCCCACGCCGUUCGUCCCGCAUGGUUUUGAGAUCAUCGAUGGUGGUCCGCGGCGGCUCCCGCGCACCUUCUACUCCCCUGCGGUGGCUCCUGAUCGUCAACAUGAAGACUAUGCAAUUGCCAUCGUUGAGCCUGCUCCUCUGCCUGAAGAAGUUCUCAUCUUCAAAAAUAUGAUUGGCUCGGAUGCAUUACCACCACUAGAGCAUGACCAUGCGCCUCCGCACCAGGAUGCUCCACAUCAUGAUGUGCAAUAG
rnacentral:rRNA from 1 species